rnacentral:lncRNA from 1 species
AUUUCACCAAAAGAGAAGACAUUAGCAUGGAGAAGGCAAUAUGAAGAUAGAGACAAUGGAGAUUUUAAAACGUUGAUUGGUGGAGACUGGAAAGUUGUGGUCAGAAGCCAAGGAAUGCUGACAGCCACCAUAAACUGGAAGAGGGUCUUGCUCUAUUGCACAGGAGUGCAGUGGUACAAUCAUGGCUGUCUGCGGCCUCAAUCUCCCUGGCUUAAGCAAUCCUCCUGCCUCAGCCUCCCAAAGUAGCUGGGACUACAGGAAAAGUGUCAGGCCCAUUGAAGUUACCACGUGCCAUGGCUGUGAGUGCCUUCACUACUUGGAGUAGGCUCAUCAGUAGACAACCCUCCCAGAGCUCUACGUGCAGCCGGCAUCUGCGCGGUCUGUUAGGAGAUGAGGUGUCGCUAUGUUGGCCAGGCUGAUCUUGAACUCCUGGCUUCAAGAGAUCAUCCUGCCUCGGCUUCCUAAAGUGCUGGGAUUACAGAGGAAAGGCCAUGUGAGGACACAUCAAGAAGGUGGCCAUCUGCAAGCCAGGAAGUGAGGCCUCACCAGACGCCAGCCCUGCUGACUCCUGAUCUUGGACUUUCAGCCUCCAGGACAGAAAUAAAUUUCUAUUGUUUAA